GGCAUGUUUGGUUGGCCGAAAGUAAAUCACCGAAAGUGGCACUUUUGAAAAGUGAUACCUUAUCGAUUGUUUGGUUUGCGAAAGUGAAUAUGAAAGUCACUUUAUAAAUGUGGGCCGAUAAAGUGAGUUAUAACUAAAUUUAACUUUUUUGACUUCAGUUCAAAAAGUUUGGAAAUCACCAAAAGUGAAGAAUUAGUUAAGAGGUUAUAUUUUAUCUUAAUUUUAAUCUUUCAAAUUAUUUUUAAAGUUGAAUUUCACUUUAAAUUUUAAUUAAAAUCAU
rnacentral:lncRNA from 1 species